rnacentral:rRNA from 1 species
GACGAACGCUGGCGGCGUGCUUAACACAUGCAAGUCGAACGGAAAGGCCUGCUUUCCCUUGUGGAUUGCGGGUACUCGAGUGGCGAACGGGUGAGUAACACGUGAGUGAUCUGCCCCCAACUUGGGUAUAAGCCUGGGAAACUGGGUCUAAUUCCCGAUAGGACUGCAGGGUGGUGCCUGUGGUGGAAAACGAUUUUCUAGUGGUUGGGGAUGAGCUCGCGGCCUAUCAGCUUGUUGGUGGGGUAAUGGCCUACCAAGGCGGCGACGGGUAGCCGGCCUGAGAGGGGGGACGGCCAAAUUGGGACUGGGUUACGGCCCAGACUCCUACGGGAGGCAGCAGUGGGGAAUAUAGCACAAUGGGCGGAAGCCUGAUGCAGCGACGCCGCGUGGGGGAUGACGGCAUUCGGGUUGUAAACUCCUUUCGACCGCGAGGAAGCCACCUGGUUGGAAGGGUGGUGACGGUAGCGGUAGAAGAAGCACCGGCUAACUACGUG